rnacentral:rRNA from 1 species
AACGAACGCUGGCGGCAGGCCUAACACAUGCAAGUCGAGCGCGCCUUUUGUUUUCGGACUUCAGGCGAGCGGCGGACGGGUGAGUAACGCGUGGGAACCUGCCCCGAGGUCCGGGACAACUCAUGGAAACGUGAGCUGAUACCGGAUGAAGCCGGAAGGUUGGCGCCUUUCGGCCAAAGAUUUAUUGCCUCGGGAUGGGCCCGCGUCGGAUUAGCUAGUCGGUGGGGUAAUGGCCCACCGAGGCGACGAUCCGUAGCUGGUUUGAGAGGAUGAUCAGCCACACCGGGACUGAGACACGGCCCGGACUCCUGCGGGAGGCAGCAGUGGGGAAUAUUGGACAAUGGGCGCAAGCCUGAUCCAGCCAUGCCGCGUGAGCGAUGAAGGCCUCAGGGUUGUAAAGCUCUUUUACCCGGGAAGACAAUGACGGUACCGGGAGAAUAAGCCCCGGCUAACUCCGUGCCAGCAGCCGCGGUAAUACGGAGGGGGCUAGCGUUGUUCGGAAUUACUGGGCGUAAAGCGCACGUAGGCGGAUGUUCAAGUCGGGGGUGAAAGCCCGGGGCUCAACCCCGGAAUUGCCUUCGAAACUGGACGUCUGGAGACCGACGAGAGGACAGUGGAAUUCCCAGUGUAGAGGUGAAAUUCGUAGAUAUUGGGAAGAACACCAGUGGCGAAGGCGGCUGUCUGGACCGGUUCUGACGCUGAAGAGCGAAAGCGUGGGGAGCAAACA